UACGAAGGGGGCUAGCGUUGUUCGGAUUUACUGGGCGUAAAGCGCACGUAGGCGGGCUAAUAAGUCAGGGGUGAAAUCCCGGGGCUCAACCCCGGAACUGCCUUUGAUACUGUUAGUCUUGAGUAUGGAAGAGGUGAGUGGAAUUCCGAGUGUAGAGGUGAAAUUCGUAGAUAUUCGGAGGAACACCAGUGGCGAAGGCGGCUCACUGGUCCAUUACUGACGCUGAGGUGCGAAAGCGUGGGGAGCAAACAGG
rnacentral:rRNA from 2 species